AGGUCAACAAGCUGAGAGCAAAGAGCCGGGAUUCAGGAUCCAAGAAGGGGGCUGAUGAAGAGUGAAAUUUUUAAGUGGAUCUCUGCAAAUAGAUUGCUGUGAAUGAUCUCUUGUGUAGUUCAGUAGAAUAAACCAGGCAUGCAAAUGAA